rnacentral:sRNA from 1 species
AAAAAAAACAGAAAAAC